AGGGUGACAGCCCCGUACACAAAAAUGCACAUGCUGUGAGCUCGAUGAGUAGGGCGGGACACGUGGUAUCCUGUCUGAAUAUGGGGGGACCAUCCUCCAAGGCUAAAUACUCCUGACUGACCGAUAGUGAACCAGUACCGUGAGGGAAAGGCGAAAAGAACCCCGGCGAGGGGAGUGAAAAAGAACCUGAAACCGUGUACGUACAAGCAGUGGGAGCCUCUUAAUGGGGUGACUGCGUACCUUUUGUAUAAUGGGUCAGCGACUUAUAUUCUGUAGCAAGGUUAACCGAAUAGGGGAGCCGAAGGGAAACCGAGUCUUAACUGGGCGUUAAGUUGCAGGGUAUAGACCCGAAACCCGGUGAUCUAGCCAUGGGCAGGUUGAAGGUUGGGUAACACUAACUGGAGGACCGAACCGACUAAUGUUGAAAAAUUAGCGGAUGACUUGUGGCUGGGGGUGAAAGGCCAAUCAAACCGGGAGAUAGCUGGUUCUCCCCGAAAGCUAUUUAGGUAGCGCCUCGUGAAUUCAUCUCCGGGGGUAGAGCACUGUUUCGGCAAGGGGGUCAUCCCGACUUACCAACCCGAUGCAAACUGCGAAUACCGGAGAAUGUUAUCACGGGAGACACACGGCGGGUGCUAACGUCCGUCGUGAAGAGGGAAACAACCCAGACCGCCAGCUAAGGUCCCAAAGUCAUGGUUAAGUGGGAAACGAUGUGGGAAGGCCCAGACAGCCAGGAUGUUGGCUUAGAAGCAGCCAUCAUUUAAAGAAAGCGUAAUAGCUCACUGGUCGAGUCGGCCUGCGCGGAAGAUGUAACGGGGCUAAACCAUGCACCGAAGCUGCGGCAGCGACACUAUGUGUUGUUGGGUAGGGGAGCGUUCUGUAAGCCUGUGAAGGUGGCCUGUGAGGGUUGCUGGAGGUAUCAGAAGUGCGAAUGCUGACAUAAGUAACGAUAAAGCGGGUGAAAAGCCCGCUCGCCGGAAGACCAAGGGUUCCUGUCCAACGUUAAUCGGGGCAGGGUGAGUCGACCCCUAAGGCGAGGCCGAAAGGCGUAGUCGAUGGGAAACAGGUUAAUAUUCCUGUACUUGGUGUUACUGCGAAGGGGGGACGGAGAAGGCUAUGUUGGCCGGGCGACGGUUGUCCCGGUUUAAGCGUGUAGGCUGGUUUUCCAGGCAAAUCCGGAAAACCAAGGCUGAGGCGUGAUGACGAGGCACUACGGUGCUGAAGUGACAAAUGCCCUGCUUCCAGGAAAAGCCUCUAAGCAUCAGGUAACAUCAAAUCGUACCCCAAACCGACACAGGUGGUCAGGUAGAGAAUACCAAGGCGCUUGAGAGAACUCGGGUGAAGGAACUAGGCAAAAUGGUGCCGUAACUUCGGGAGAAGGCACGCUGAUAUGUAGGUGAAGCGACUUGCUCGUGGAGCUGAAAUCAGUCGAAGAUACCAGCUGGCUGCAACUGUUUAUUAAAAACACAGCACUGUGCAAACACGAAAGUGGACGUAUACGGUGUGACGCCUGCCCGGUGCCGGAAGGUUAAUUGAUGGGGUUAGCGGUAACGCGAAGCUCUUGAUCGAAGCCCCGGUAAACGGCGGCCGUAACUAUAACGGUCCUAAGGUAGCGAAAUUCCUUGUCGGGUAAGUUCCGACCUGCACGAAUGGCGUAAUGAUGGCCAGGCUGUCUCCACCCGAGACUCAGUGAAAUUGAACUCGCUGUGAAGAUGCAGUGUACCCGCGGCAAGACGGAAAGACCCCGUGAACCUUUACUAUAGCUUGACACUGAACAUUGAGCCUUGAUGUGUAGGAUAGGUGGGAGGCUUUGAAGUGUGGACGCCAGUCUGCAUGGAGCCGACCUUGAAAUACCACCCUUUAAUGUUUGAUGUUCUAACGUUGGCCCCUAAUCGGGGUUGCGGACAGUGUCUGGUGGGUAGUUUGACUGGGGCGGUCUCCUCCUAAAGAGUAACGGAGGAGCACGAAGGUUGGCUAAUCCUGGUCGGACAUCAGGAGGUUAGUGCAAUGGCAUAAGCCAGCUUGACUGCGAGCGUGACGGCGCGAGCAGGUGCGAAAGCAGGUCAUAGUGAUCCGGUGGUUCUGAAUGGAAGGGCCAUCGCUCAACGGAUAAAAGGUACUCCGGGGAUAACAGGCUGAUACCGCCCAAGAGUUCAUAUCGACGGCGGUGUUUGGCACCUCGAUGUCGGCUCAUCACAUCCUGGGGCUGAAGUAGGUCCCAAGGGUAUGGCUGUUCGCCAUUUAAAGUGGUACGCGAGCUGGGUUUAGAACGUCGUGAGACAGUUCGGUCCCUAUCUGCCGUGGGCGCUGGAGAACUGAGGGGGGCUGCUCCUAGU
rnacentral:rRNA from 1 species